UACGAGGGGGGCGAGCGUUGUUCGGAAUUAUUGGGCGUAAAGGGCGCGUAGGCGGUGCGGUAAGUCACCUGUGAAACCUCUAGGCUUAACCUAGAGCCUGCAGGCGAAACUGCCGUGCUGGAGUGUGGGAGAGGUGCGUGGAAUUCCCGGUGUAGCGGUGAAAUGCGUAGAUAUCAGGAGGAACACCGGUGGUGUAGACGGCUUUCUGGACCGUAACUGACGCUGA
rnacentral:rRNA from 1 species